GCUUUAGCAUAGAGCAGAGUCUGCUCCUUAAUGCAUCCCUGGAUCAUAGCGGACUCUGCCUAUAGAGGCCUGGGGUCCCUUUGGCAGCACUUUUGUCAAGAAAGUAGAGUCGUGGACAACCAACUGCACAGGUUGGGAGGAAAACUUACAGCCUCCAUCACUCUUCAGGAGAGUGGCAGUCAAGGAGUAAGACUCAAGCAAAGGAAUAAUCUGAGUUUAAAGAAAGGAGGAGUCAGUGCUGGGAUUUCUUGGUUCUAGUGGAAAGUAGUUUUUUAAAAUUUAAUUGACAAAAGUUAUAUAUAUUCAGGUACAUGAUGUGAUGAUUUGAUAUACAUGUACAUGUAUAAUGAUAGCCACAACCAUUAAUUAAUGUAACCAUCACCACCUAUAGUUACCCUUUUCUAUGCGUGUGUGUGUGUGUAUACGUGCAUGCAGUGAGGACACUUAAAAUCUACUCUUACAAAUUUCAAGUAAACAAGGCAGUAUUAUUUACUGUAGUUCCCAGAUUGUAUAUUAGAUUUCCAGAACUUAUUCAUCUUUUUUUUUUUUUUUUGAGACAGAGUCUCACUCUGUCAUCUAGGCUGGAGUGCAGUGGUGCAAGCUCGGCUCACUGCAACCUCCAUCUCUGGGGUUCAAGCAAUUCUCCUGCACAGGCAUGUGCCACCACGCCCGGCUAAUUUUUUUGUAUUUUUAGUAGAGACUGGGUCUCACCGUGUUAGCCAGGAUGGUCUCCAUCUUCUGACCUCGUGAUCCACCCGUCUUGGCCUCCCAAAGUGCUGGGAUUACAGGCAUGAGCCACUGCGCCCAGCCAGAACUUAUUCAUCUUAUAACAAACUUUGUACCCUUUGACCAACAUCUCUCCAUUUCCCCUAUCCCUGAGCCCCUGACAACCACCAUUCUACUCUCUGCUUCUCUGAGUUCAACUUUUUUAGAUUCCACACAUAAGUGAUAUCAUAUAGUAUUUCCAUAUAUAAAUGAGACCAUAUAGCAUUUUUUUCUGUGACUUUUUUAUCCCAAUUACCAUAAAUGUCCCCAAGUUUCAUCCACGUUGUUGCAAAUGACAGGAUUUUCUUCCUUUUUAUGGUCCAGUAAUAUUCUACAGUUUCUUCAUCCAUUUAUAAAUUCAUGAACAUUUAGUUUGAUUCC
rnacentral:lncRNA from 1 species